rnacentral:rRNA from 1 species
CCCUUAGAUGUUCUGGGCCGCACGCGCGCUACACUGACGAAUGCAACGAGCUUAUAACCUUGGCCGAAAGGUCUGGGUAAUCUCCAAAUUUCGUCGUGAUGGGGAUAGAUUAUUGCAAUUAUUAAUCUUCAACGAGGAAUGCCUAGUAAGCGCAAGUCAUCAGCUUGCGUUGAUUACGUCCCUUCCCUUUGUACACACCGCCCGUCGCUCCUACCGAUUGAAUGGUCCGGUGAAGCGUUCGGACCGUGGCCUUUGGACGGUUCGCCGUCUGUUGGCUGCGGGAAGUUCGUUAAACCUUAUCAUUUAGAGGAAGGAGAANUCGUAACA